GUGGGGAAUCUUAGACAAUGGGCGCAAGCCUGAUCUAGCCAUGCCGCGUGAGUGAUGAAGGCCCUAGGGUUGUAAAGCUCUUUCAGCUGGGAAGAUAAUGACGGUACCAGCAGAAGAAGCCCCGGCUAACUUCGUGCCAGCAGCCGCGGUAAUACGAAGGGGGCUAGCGUUGUUCGGAUUUACUGGGCGUAAAGCGCACGUAGGCGGAUCGUUAAGUCGGGGGUGAAAUCCUGGAGCUCAACUCCAGAACUGCCUUCGAUACUGGCGAUCUUGAGUCCGGAAGAGGUGAGUGGAACUCCUAGUGUAGAGGUGGAAUUCGUAGAUAUUAGGAAGAACACCAGUGGCGAAGGCGGCUCACUGGUCCGGUACUGACGCUGAGGUGCGAAAGCGUGGGGAGCAAACAGGAUUAGAAACCCGAGUAGUCC
rnacentral:rRNA from 1 species